CCUACGGGGCGCAGCAGUCGAGAAUCAUUCACAAUGGGGGAAACCCUGAUGGUGCGACGCCGCGUGGGGGAAUGAAGGUCUUCGGAUUGUAAACCCCUGUCAUGUGGGAGCAAAUUAAAAAGAUAGUACCACAAGAGGAAGAGACGGCUAACUCUGUGCCAGCAGCCGCGGUAAUACAGAGGUCUCAAGCGUUGUUCGGAAUCACUGGGCGUAAAGCGUGCGUAGGCUGUUUCGUAAGUCGUGUGUGAAAGGCGAGGGCUCAACCCGCGGACGGCACAUGAUACUGCGAGACUAGAGUAAUGGAGGGGGAACCGGAAUUCUCGGUGUAGCAGUGAAAUGCGUAGAUAUCGAGAGGAACACUCGUGGCGAAGGCGGGUUCCUGGACAUUAACUGACGCUGAGGCACGAAGGCCAGGGGAGCGAAAGGGAUUAGAUACCCGAGUAGUC
rnacentral:rRNA from 1 species